CCACCAGGACUACUUUAACUGGAGGUCCCGGCAGACCCUGCUCCGACUGACCCGCAGCGGGAGAUUUUGGAGCAAAGAUGAACCUUCGCCCCCUAAAACCUACAGCACUCGGAGAGGGCCUCUCGUUCUGUACUCCCAGGACCUGGCCCUGUCGUCGUGGCAACCGGAUGAUGUCAGCACUAAGACACGGGGGCCCCGGCGUUCCCGACAGGAAGCGGAGCUGCAAGUCUGCACCCUGCAGGAACUCACGGGGGCCAUCCUGGCUUAUGGCAAAAAGCAGCCACUGAGGUGGUAUGGUUCAGAGGACACCCACCCACCCCUGCCUAUCCCUUCACAACCAAAACUCCCUCCACCCACCUACACCGCUCAACGUGGCCGGGCUCACUCCAACCGGCAACCCGAAGCUGUGCCCUCUGACCCUGCAGUGCCUCCAGGACCCCCCGCUGGCCACGCAGAGGAAGCAGUCUUCCCCAACACCUUCAAACCCCACAGGGCCCGUGUGGGUCUCCUGCCACUUCUACCUAAGGGAAGGGGCACACACUCAGGGGGAAGAGGAUCUCACUGGGCCUCCUCAGAAAACCAAGGAAUGUCUCAGACAGAAGACUUGGAAAACUCUACAGAACAAAAGAAUCAGAAGACAUUUACCAUGAGCAUGAUGGUGGAGGUACCGAGAGUACUAAUGACUCCAAUUCCAGAGACAGAUCCUGAUGAACAGGAGGAUCAUUCAGAAAACACUGGGGACCCAAUAAAGGCUGAGAUGACACACCGUGUGAUUGGCUGCCCCGGACACGUAGGGGCUGGUGGGAAAUGUACCGCAGCGGGAGCCUCAGCUGCCAGCGAAGCGUGUCCUCUGAGGACCGCGCGUGUGGACGACUCCUGGGACUGCAGCCCCGUAUCGCAAGUCACCUACUACGGGGGUCACCUCCGUGGUGCCCAAGCAAGGGGCAUCUUGAGGCAUAGGAGACCAGACCCAGCUGACAGAAGAGAGGAAAGCACGUCACACCCAGAUUUCACCUCCAUACACCUACCGCCUCUGCCCGCGGGACCGCUGGUUAGGCGGGACUCGGCGAGCGACGGCGCAGUUCCUGUGAGUCAGAACGUGGUGUUUGAUUGCAGCUCUCGUGUGCAUAGAAAAUAA
rnacentral:lncRNA from 1 species